GACACUUUGGCCGAGUGGUUAAGGCGCAGGCCUGCUAAGCCUGUGGGUUCGCCCGCCUGGUAUGUUCUACUAUAAUAUUUGCAUAAUCAAACAUCAAGUAUCUAACAAUCUACAACAGGGUUCGAAUCCCAGAGGUGUCG
rnacentral:tRNA from 1 species